GGGAUAUAACUCAGUUGGUAGAGUGCUUGCCUUGCAUGCCCAAGGCCCUGGGUUCAAUUCCCAGCACCACCA
rnacentral:tRNA from 1 species